rnacentral:rRNA from 1 species
UACGAAGGGGGCUAGCGUUGCUCGGAAUUACUGGGCGUAAAGCGCGUGUAGGCGGUCCGGUAAGUCCGCUGUGAAAGUCGGGGGCUCAACCCUCGGAUGCCGGUGGAUACUGUCGGGCUUGAGUACGGAAGAGGCGAGUGGAAUUCCUGGUGUAGCGGUGAAAUGCGCAGAUAUCAGGAGGAACACCAAUUGCGAAGGCAGCUCGCUGGACGUUACUGACGCUGAGACGCGAAAGCGUGGGGAGCAAACAGG